UGCUGACGAGUGGCGAACGGGUGAGUAAUACAUCGGAACGUGCCCGAUCGGGGGGGAUAACGAGGCGAAAGCUUUGCUAAUACCGCAUACGAUCUACGGAUGAAAGCGGGGGAUCUUCGGACCUCGCGCGGACGGAGCGGCCGAUGGCAGAUUAGGUAGUUGGUGGGAUAAAAGCUUACCAAGCCGACGAUCUGUAGCUGGUCUGAGAGGAUGAUCAGCCACACUGGGACUGAGACACGGCCCAGACUCCUACGGGAGGCAGCAGUGGGGAAUUUUGGACAAUGGGCGAAAGCCUGAUCCAGCCAUGCCGCGUGCAGGAUGAAGGCCUUCGGGUUGUAAACUGCUUUUGUACGGAACGAAAAGCCUCUUUCUAAUAAAGAGGGGUCAUGACGGUACCGUAAGAAUAAGCACCGGCUAACUACGUGCCAGCAGCCGCGGUAAUACGUAGGGUGCAAGCGUUAAUCGGAAUUACUGGGCGUAAAGCGUGCGCAGGCGGUUUUGUAAGACAGAGGUGAAAUCCCCGGGCUCAACCUGGGAACUGCCUUUGUGACUGCAAGGCUGGAGUGCGGCAGAGGGGGAUGGAAUUCCGCGUGUAGCAGUGAAAUGCGUAGAUAUGC
rnacentral:rRNA from 1 species